GGAUGUGGGGGCAAUCUGCAACAUCUGUCACUCCACUGAUCACCAGAAUUGAUUCAGCUGAUCUGACUAGCUAGGUGAGUGUUCCCUUCCUCCCUCACCACUCCAUGUAUGUCUCUCCUGAAGCUGCAAAAGGACAGCCUUCUCCAGUAGAGACAUCAGUCUCUUAUCUCCAGUU
rnacentral:snRNA from 1 species